ACACAAAGAAGAAGAGGAACAUAUAUUGAUUCUGGGUCAAUCCCUCAUAGUUUUGUUGACGGUAUAUUUUUCUCUCCUCUGCGGCACAAGUUUGAGGUCCAAAAUGAACCAAAUGCAGAUCCUACCCGACCUAAAAAUCCUCAGCAUUCAUCUAAAAAGCUCUAUGACCAGAGGCAUAUUAAAAUGUGAAAAAAUCAACUCAUCAACUUACAGUGUUGAAUUCAAAUGUCAAUCGUGCUCGUUCCUGUUGUGUAUCCUCAAUCUGGCAACCCACUCAUUAUUACAUACUGCACCUUUAAAGGGGGUAAACUUCGUCUGGAACAUUUCAUUAGUUGAAGGGAUUUCACAA